CAGCAGCCGCGGGAAUACGUAGGUGGCAAGCGUUGUCCGGAAUUAUUGGGCGUAAAGGGCUCGCAGGCGGUUUCUUAAGUCUGAUGUGAAAGCCCCCGGCUCAACCGGGGAGGGUCAUUGGAAACUGGGAAACUUGAGUGCAGAAGAGGAGAGUGGAAUUCCACGUGUAGCGGUGAAAUGCGUAGAGAUGUGGAGGAACACCAGUGGCGAAGGCGACUCUCUGGUCUGUAACUGACGCUGAGGAGCGAAAGUGUGGGGAGCGAACAGGAUUAGAGACCCCGGUAGUCCCUGUCUCUUAUAC
rnacentral:rRNA from 1 species